rnacentral:rRNA from 1 species
GACGAACGCUGGCGGCGUGCCUAACACAUGCAAGUCGAACGGAGAAUUAGCAAUAAUUCUUAGUGGCGAACGGGUGAGUAACGCGUAGACAACCUACCCUUUAGAUGGGGACAACACCGCGAAAGUGGUGCUAAUACCGAAUAUUGCUUGAGAAGCGCAUGCUUUUCAAACUAAAGAUGGCCUCUAUAUAUAAGCUAUCGCUAAAGAAUGGGUCUGCGUCGGAUUAGCUAGUUGGUGAGAUAAAAGCUCACCAAGGCAACGAUCAGUAGCCGGUCUGAGAGGAUGAACGGCCACACUGGGACUGAGACACGGCCCGGACUCCUACGGGAGGCAGCAGUGGGGAAUCUUCCGCAAUGGACGAAAGUCUGACGGAGCAACGCCGCGUGAGUGAUGAAGGUUUUCGGAUCGUAAAACUCUGUUGUUAAGGACGAAUGUAUAGAUUGUGAAUAAUGGUUUAUAAUGACGGUACUUAACGAGGAAGCCACGGCUAACUACGUGCCAGCCGCCGCGGUAA